CGGGGCGGGGCGGCGCUCUAGGCCGAGCGGGAGGUCGGGGCUGCGGGUGCUCGCUGGUGGCGGAUCAGAAGGCGGCUGCGGUGGCGGGGCUCCGCGGCCGAGGUCGAAUCCGAUCGGGAGCCAUGAGCGUGGACAAGGCCGAGCUAUGCGGGUCUCUGCUCACCUGGUUGCAGACGUUCCAUGUCCCGUCCCCCUGUACCAGCCCCCAGGACCUGAGCAGUGGCCUCGCCAUAGCCUAUGUGCUAAACCAGAUAGAUCCUUCCUGGUUCAACGAGACGUGGCUCCAGGGCAUCUCAGAGGACCCGGGUCCCAACUGGAGGCUGAAGGUUAGCAAUCUGAAGACAAUCUUACAGAGCCUAUUGGAGUACUCCCAGGAUGUCCUGGGGCAUCCUGUUUUGGAGCAGCACCUUCCAGACGUGAGCCUCAUUGGCGAGUUCUCUGACCCAGAAGAGCUUGGCAAGCUGCUUCAGCUGGUGCUUGGCUGUGCCAUCAGCUGCGAGAAAAAGCAGGAGCACAUCCAGAGAAUCAUGACGCUGGAGGAAUCAGUUCAGCAUGUGGUGAUGGAAGCCAUCCAGGAGCUGAUGACCAAAGACACCCCCGACUCCCUGUCACCAGAAACAUAUGGGAAUUUUGAUAACCAGUCCCGAAGGUACUACUUCCUGAGUGAGGAGGCUGAUGAGGGGGAUGAGCUGCGGCAGCACUGUCUGGACCUGGAGCGGCAGCUGGUGCUCCUGUCCGAGGAGAAGCAGAGCCUGGCACAGGAGAACGCGGUGCUUCGGGAACGGGUGGGCCGGCCAGAGGGUGAGGGUGCCACUGGCCUCACUGCUAAGAAGCUGUUGCUGCUGCAGUCCCAGCUGGAGCAGCUGCAGGAGGAGAACUUCAGGCUGGAGAACGGCAGGGAAGAUGAGCGUCUGCACUGUGCCGAGCUGGAGCGGGAGGUCUCUGAGCUGCAGCAGCGGAACCAGGCACUGACCAGUCUGGCCCAGGAGGCGCAGGCCCUGAAGGAUGAGAUGGACGAGCUGCGGCAGUCCUCUGAGCGUGCCGGGCAGCUGGAGGCCACGCUGAGCAGCUGCCGGCGCCGCCUGGGUGAGCUGCGGGAGCUGAGGCGGCAGGUGCGGCAGCUGGAGGAGCGUAACGCGGGCCAUGCCGAGCGCACGCGGCAGCUGGAGGACGAGCUACGCCGGGCCGGCUCACUGCGUGCCCAGCUCGAGGCACAGCGACGACAGGUUCAGGAACUUCAGGGCCAGCGACAGGAGGAGGCCAUGAAGGCCGAGAAGUGGCUAUUCGAGUGUCGAAACCUGGAGGAAAAGUAUGAGUUGGUGACAAAGGAGAAGGAGCGGCUGCUGGCAGAGCGGGACUCCCUGCGGGAGGCCAAUGAGGAGCUGCGCUGCGCCCAGCUGCAGCCUCGGGGGCUGACCCAGGCCGACCCUUCGCUGGAUCCCACCUCACCAGCUGUGGAAAACUUGGCAGCAGAGAUCCUACCUGCGGAGCUGAGCCCUGCUCACUCCCCGGUCGGCAGGGAGACGCUCCUGCGGCUUCAGCUGGAGAACAAGCAGCUGUGCCAGCAGGAGGCGGCCUACCGGGAGCGGCAGGAGGAGCUGCAGCGCCACCUGGAGGAGGCCAACCGCGCGCGCCACGGGCUGGAGACGCAGCUGCGGCUGAACCAGCAGCAGCUGUUGGAGCUGCGGGCCCAGGUGGAGGACUUACAGAAGGCCUUGCAAGAGCAGGGGGGCAAGACGGAGGAUGUGAGUGCCCACCUCCUCCCUGCCUGGCCCUCCCUCGUGCCCCCCAGUAACCCUCCUCUCUCUCCUCCCUGCUGCUCGAUGCCCCCUGCAGUCCAUCGUAAGUACCGUGGGCCCAGGGUGGCACCCUCUACCCUCACCCCAAGAUGGAGUUGGGACGCCUGGACCCCCCAUUCACCCAGUGCCUGUUCUCUCCCCCAGUCCACCCUACUGAAGAGGAAGCUGGAGGAGCAUCUUUACGUGAAAGGUAACAGGCUAUCUGCUAGUCUGCACUUGGCUUCUCCUCCUUAAGAAGACGGCUGGGGAACGUCGCCAUAUGAAUCGGUUUUUGUUGCCUUUGUCAACUGGGGGUCCAUGGGGAAAUUGGGCCUUCCAGAAAAUGACUUGUGUGACCCAUCUCAGUUCCACCAAGGAUGGAGUGUAGCCUGCGCCCACCGGGAGCACGGAAAAAGUUAUUUCCUUACAGAGGAUGGAUAUAUGGAAACAUUAGGGCUUGAUUCACCUGUAAAAUUCCAAUCCAGAAGCGCUGGCCUGUAGCCUUUUUUUGCGAAGGGCCUCACGUGUUUAAGUCAUCCUAGGUAUCUGCGACUGCCAACAGUGCAGCAGAGUAAAACCUUGCACACGCCUCAUUUCGCUUGUGUGCGAAUUUAUCACGAAAGUGGAAAUGGUGGCUCAGAGGGCACGUGCCUUGGUAACCUGAGACAUAGCCCAGGUUUCUCUAUUAGGUCUUUCUACUAUGUUCCAUAUCCAGUGCACGAUAAUAAUAAUAAUAAUAAUAAUAAUAAUAAUAAUAAUCAUCUCACUGGCAGGGGGCGUUAUCAGAUCCUUCGGCUUUUGCAGCAUGCAGCAGAACUGUAGUUUUUUUACCUGGCGUUUCUUUUGGUCGGAAGACAUUUGCCUGCUAGAAAGAUCCCUGGCUGCUGGGUGGAGAAAGGAAUUGAGAUUGAGUGCAGAAGAGGCCGGCGAGGGGUGAUGGUGCCCGUGCCAGUAGGCGGGCCGGGGCACGGAGAGAAGUGGACACACGGUGGGGCUGGCCCAGGGGCCACCGGACUAGGGGGUGGGGAAGGUUGUGACUCCAGCGGCUGAGCAGAUGGUGGGACCAGGGCACGCGGCUUGUGUGCUCGGGGCGUGGGGCACACAGAGGGAUCUCUGCAGCCGGGCAGGCACGUGUUGGCCGGCUGGGUAGGCUGUGGCCACCGGUGGGAGGAGGGAAGGGGGCCCGGAGGUCAGCCUGCGGCUCCCCUUCCUCCGUCCGCAGGCAGAAGCUGCAUGAGGCAGAUCUGGAGCUGCAGCGGAAGCGAGAGUAUAUUGAGGAGCUGGAGCCCCCCGCUGACAGCAGCACAGCCCGGCGUAUCGAGGAGCUGCAGCACAGCCUGCAGAAGAAGGACGCAGACCUGCGGGCCAUGGA